rnacentral:lncRNA from 13 species
GAAGAUACUCAAAGGAAUUCAAACACCUGCGUGAGGUCCCUUGAGUCUUUACUUGAUACCAAUCUGUACAUGCACUGGUGGAAUUCCAGGAAGUGAAUAAAGAACAGUGAGCUAUAAAUAAAGAACAGUUCCUGGAACUCACACCAGGGUGCAGGAUCUCUGAACUCCAUCUGUUCAGCUGGAGACCUCACAGAGCACUGGAAGCAAUCAAUCGACAAAAGGACCGAGCCUUUGUGGUAGGAAUAAAUUCGCUGGCUGCACUGAGCUCGCAGGACAGUGGGGCUCAGCCUUGGCUGAUGGAGUCAUGAGAAGUCCCAAUUCCAGUUCUGAUGAUCUGUCCCGGGGUGUCAAGUCUCCAGAGUCCAGCUGCACAGCUCCAUCCCAGCCAGUGCUUGUGGCAGCCUCUCCAAGUCUUUGCCUGCCACUCUCGUCCCUGCGGUGAGCUGAUCACGGUGCACAACAUGGCGCCUGGCACAUGGAUGCAGAUGUGAAGACAGCCAAAGGGGAGACAUUUACGUCGUUCAUAAAAUCGUUCGAAGAUAGUCCCGGAAUGUCCAUCCGGUGCCCGAAGUUUGCUGCCUGGGAUAUAAAUAAUAAAUACAACGAUUAAGUUCA